rnacentral:rRNA from 1 species
UACGGGGGGGGCAAGCGUUGUUCGGAAUUACUGGGCGUAAAGGGCUCGUAGGCGGCCAACUAAGUCAGACGUGAAAUCCCUCGGCUUAACCGGGGAACUGCGUCUGAUACUGGAUGGCUUGAAUCCGGGAGAGGGAUGCGGAAUUCCAGGUGUAGCGGUGAAAUGCGUAGAGAUGGGGGAGAACACUCGUGGCGAAGGCGGCCAGCUAGACCAGUUCUGACACUGAGGCGCGACAGCGUGGGGAGCAAACAGG